UUGAUGAAUGACAAACAAUGAAGUCAAGUGUAUAAUCAAAUGGUGAGAAGCAUACUGAUGACGGAAUUGCAUGAACAAGCUAAAGAAGUUCAAGACCGAAUACCCAAGACGUAGGUCGUUUGGUAGAACCAAUGUACGGACAACGUUUAAGUUAUCUUAUCCUUUGGCUCAACAUUAGGUCAUCAUAAACAUGCAUACAAUUACUUUAUUAAAUUAUAUAUAUCAUAAAUAUUUUUAAUAUAUACUUCAAACAAAAUGAUUUUAACGUUUUCAUUUCAACCAAAAUG
rnacentral:lncRNA from 1 species